rnacentral:lncRNA from 1 species
UCUGUAUAGCAGGAGACUAAAGUCCUCCUCAUGAGCCUGUCAGUAGUUAGGUGCUCAAUGUUUCUUGUCCCGGCUUUUCUGGCUGGCUGGGGGAGGUCUGGUUUUCUUCUUUCCUCUUUUUGGGUCAGUCAUCAGGAUUUUCAGAAAACUUCCCAUGCUUAACUCUGAGCUUUAUUAGUUUGAUGGUAUCCACAGCUUUUUGUUUCCUAUUCAAAUAAAAAUAAGUCUGCACCCCAAGUGCAAUACAUUCACUGACUUCCAUUCUGAUGUUAACUUGGCCUUGUAGUAUACAGGCUUAUUUAAUUCCACAUUGUUUUCUAUAACCCAGUUGUCAGAUGCUGUUGUUCCUUUCACAUUAAUGUUCAGAAAAUUUAAAGUUAUCAGCACUAGUCAGUCUAUUCCUGUGAGUCUUUAUUCUUCAUUUUUGUUUUAUAAUUAUUUCUUUUAAGAUGCGAUUAGAUCUUUAAACAAUUGCUUGUCCUGUAGGAUUGUGUAGUAUACCUAUAAUAUACCUGUGAUUUAUAUUACAAUAUACAAAGACUUGCUUCAUUUUAUUGGAUACAUAUGCAGGGAUAUUGUCAGUCUUAAUUUGUGCAGGUAUCCACACAAUAGCCAUUACUUCUAGUAAAUAUAUAAUUAAGAAUCAACCUUUUCAAAAUCAAAGCAGUUGCCCAUUAAAACCCCGAGUACACUUCCAUCUGCCAGACUUCAUUUCUUGUGGUACCCUUAGGGUUACUUCCAGUGGAUAAUGGGGUUUGGUUAUACACAGAACAAGUAGGACAUUUUCUUAUAAUUUCCUUGGCUUGUUGUCAAGUGAUAGAAAUUUUUUUUCUUUAAACCUUUAUUGUUAAUUUGGUUUUUUCAUGAAAUAUUGAUGCUUCUAACAUAUUUCCUAUUAAUAAUUGGUCAAUUUCUUCAUUUCCUUGAGCUAAUGGACCUAGCAAGACUAUAUGAGACUGAAUAUGGGUGAUAUAUAAUGGAUAUUUUCUAUAUCUGAUUGCCUAUUGCAGUUGUAUAAAUAAUAAUGUUAAUUCUUAAUUACCAGGAAUAAAUUCAUUGCUUCUAUAUGUGAAACAAUUCUUUCUGUGUAUUGAGAGUCAGUAAUUAAGAGGUUUAGGAAAAUCUAAUAGAACCAUAUGAAUUGCAUAGAACUCUUGAUUUUUGAACUGAAAUAUUUGGGCUUUGAAAUACUUUCAUUGUUUUUUUUUUCUUGACUUAUUACCAGCUAUUCCCAAUUUAUUUGCAUAAAAAUAUAAAUGUAGGUGCUCCAGGAAUUGGUGUUCCUUUUACAACAUGUGGGAGAAUCCAAUUAGUUCUUUUGAUAAACUGAAGAUGCUUGCUUUUAGGAUAUCUACUGUUAAUUUCUCCCAAAUAGCUGUUACAGACUCUUUAAUUACUCAUAAUGACAUAAUCUAAGCAUUAGUAUAAGGCACUAUGAUUUCUGCUGGGUCUAUUUCUGACAAUUGAUGUAGUCUUAUUCUUGCAUUCAUAAUUAAAUCAAAGUUUUUUAUAUGUCUUUAUAUUUUUACUUUGUAUGCUAAGAAGGUCUGUUCUAAAAUACUAUCUUCCCUUUGCAUAAUGAGCCCAGUAGAAGAAUGACUAUAAGACAAAAUAAAGAAAAUACAAUCCAGUUUGGGAUCUAUGCGAUCCACAUAUACAUCCUGCCAUCUUUUUACUGAAGUUAACUCUUUUUCUGCUUCCUUUGUUAGCUGUCUUGGACUGUCUCAGUCUGAAUCUCCUUGUAAUGUUUAAAACAAAGUACUUAACUCAUGAGUUGUUAAUCCAGUGGUGGGCCAUAUCCAGCUAAUAUCUCCCAUUAAUUUUUGAAAAUCAUUAAGAGUUCAUAAC